AUUGAACGCUGGCGGCAUGCCUUACACAUGCAAGUCGAACGGUAACGCGGGGGGCAACCCUGGCGACGAGUGGCGAACGGGUGAGUAAUACAUCGGAACGUACCCAGUAGUGGGGGAUAGCUCGGCGAAAGCCGGAUUAAUACCGCAUACGACCUAUGGGUGAAAGCGGGGGAUCGCAAGACCUCGCGCUAUUGGAGCGGCCGAUGUCGGAUUAGCUAGUUGGUGAGGUAAAGGCNCACCAAGGCUACGAUCCGUAGCUGGUCUGAGAGGACGACCAGCCACACUGGGACUGAGACACGGCCCAGACUCCUACGGGAGGCAGCAGUGGGGAAUUUUGGACAAUGGGCGCAAGCCUGAUCCAGCCAUGCCGCGUGUGUG
rnacentral:rRNA from 1 species